CACGUAGGGCGCGAGCGUUGUCCGGAAUUAUUGGGCGUAAAGAGCUCGUAGGUGGUUUGUUACGUCCGCUGUGAAAACCUAGGGCUUAACCCUGGGCUUGCAGUGGAUACGGGCAGACUAGAGGUAGGUAGGGGAGAAUGGAAUUCCUGGUGUAGCGGUGAAAUGCGCAGAUAUCAGGAGGAACACCGGUGGCGAAGGCGGGCU
rnacentral:rRNA from 1 species